UAAUAUUCCAUGCAUUCUCCUGCCACCAAUUUUCAUAACUACGCUUAUUCUAAAUUGUUAAGUUGAAAAGGCAAUUUUGUUUCACAAUCAUACUAUGAUCCCCUCACUAUAGUAAUAUCCCUUUAUCUGUUCAUGAAAUUAUAAAAUAGAAACAAAUCGUAGCUACAGCACUUCCAUGUAGUUGUUGCAAUAUUUAGCAUUGUUGAUAACUAAGUUGUGUUGUGAUGGAAAUAAUAUAUGCAGAUUUUUUGUGGAUGAUGUCCCAAUAAGAAGGUAUCCAAGGAAAAGUGAGGCCACAUACCCUACAAGGCCAAUGUAUGUGUAUGGGUCAAUAUGGGAUGCAUCUUCUUGGGCAACAGAGGGUGGAAAAUACAAAGCUGAUUACAGAUACCAACCCUUCAUUGGUAGGUACAAAAACUUCAGACUUCAAGGUUGCACCAGUGAAAGCUCUGCCUCAUGCCACCCACCUUCUGCAUCUCCUUCUGGCUUUGGAAGUCUGAGCCCUCAGCAGUUCAGGGCCAUGCAAUGGGUCCAAACCAACUACAUGGUGUACAACUAUUGCCAUGAUCCUAGGAGAGACCACAAUCUGAUCCCAGAAUGCUAAGCCAAGGUUGUUUGUUCAUGUUGGUGUGUCUCAAUUCUAUGUUACCCUUUAUAUACUUAUACUUUAAAAAUUGAAACUUUGAAACGGUGUUGGGGGUGGUUUUUGUGAUGGUCCCAUUGCUAAGUGUAAUUGCAAGAGCAGUUGAACGUCCAAGCCACUCCAAUGAUUGGAAUAUUUUGUUUUGUUGUGUUGUGUCGUGUCAUUGUGUUGUUGUAGAAAUGUUUUGGGUCCUAUAGUGUCGAAAUAAAUUGAUAAGAAUGCUUUUCUGAUACGUGUAUCGGUGUGAAAAGUGACAUUGAGAUA
rnacentral:lncRNA from 1 species